UACGUAGGGGGCAAGCGUUGUCCGGAAUCAUUGGGCGUAAAGAGCGUGUAGGCGGCCAGAUAAGUCCGCUGUGAAAUCUCGAGGCUCAACUUCGAGCUGUCGGUGGAAACUGUCUGGCUAGAGUCCGGAAGAGGAGAAUGGAAUUCCUGGUGUAGCGGUGAAAUGCGCGAUAUCAGGAAGAACACCCGUGGCGAAGGCGGUCUCUGGGACGGUACUGACGCUGGAGACGCGAAAGCGUGGGGAGCGAACAGG
rnacentral:rRNA from 1 species